ACAAAGCAAAAGUAUUUGGCUUCAGUGGAAGGUGCUGUUCUGUGAGGAAAGCUUUGUGCUCAAGCUAUUGUACAGGAUUAUGAGUUGCUCGUUGCUCGGGGCCAAAGAAGGUUGGCUCAAGCAAGUCUUUUUUGAGAGAAAACCUUUGCGGGGUAAAUUUUGCCAUGGUUCUUGAGGAUUAUUCAAAGAAUAGUGUUGGCUUGUGGAUCAAUGAUAUGCCCACAUGAAGGAUAUAUUUUCUGCUGUCAGAGCGGAUAAUAUGCCAUUAUAACAUAUCUGGGCUGUCUGGUACUAGAUCUUUAAUUUCUGCUUAGAGAAUCUUGUUUUCUUCUUGGUUUUACUUGUAUGAUACCUAUAUAUCUUGCUUCAAGUGUACAUAAUUUAUUCUUAAAAAAUAUAUCUGAAAUACAAUGGAAUCAAGGAGAAAGCAUACACAUUUGGUUCAGCUUGUAUACUUGACCUUAUGUACCUUACUUCGUUUCAGCGGGAUGCAAUGGAUAAGAUUUCCGGAAAA